rnacentral:lncRNA from 1 species
UUCCCAGGGACGAGUCCUUCUCGGAAGUGAAGGGCGUGUCGUUCUCCGUGAAGACGGUGAAAUCGGUGCUGCGCUCUCUGAUCCCCACGCUGGAGAGUAUCAUCACCGACCAGAAGCUCGGCUUCCCCCACAUUACCGCUAUAGACAACCUCUUCGAUGACGGUAUCGAGCUGCCGCCACCGGAGCAGAAGGGGUUCCUCCAGACAGCCCUGCCGAAUCUGGUGAAGGCGAUAAGUGAAGGGAAAGACGAUGUUCUGCUCUUCGACCCGCCGGCCAUAAUCGAGAGUCAGUCAUCUCCUUCCCCACCGCUCCCAUUCCUCCCAUCUCGAUUUUUAGAAUGCACGCAUCACAGUUGAUCCACAAUCUUGCAGAGGACAAGUUCUCCUGGUUUAGAGACGAGGAGUUCGCUCGGCAAACCCUCGCUGGCCUCAACCCCUUCAGCAUCGAGCUGGUCAAGGUGAGAAAAUUUUUUACAAGUCGAAAAACCCCAUUACAAAAACUCAUAUAAUUGAUCACAGAAACUUGUUGUCGACAUUGCGUACUUCCCGAUAGUCUUGUGCUCAUGACAGCGAGACCACGCUAUAUGGUUUGUCGGGAAUGAUCCAAAAGUGUCUACGAUGACAAGACUUUGGUUCAAGAUAGAAAGAAAAAGAAAUUAUGGAAAUUAUGGCGCACUAUCAGAUCUCGUAAAAAUCACCGAUAAAAGCCUGAAAAUCUCACACACACACGACCACCUCCUGGGUCCCGCAGGAAUUCCCCUUCGUCAGCAAGCUCGACCCACAGAUCUAUGGGCCUCCGGAGUCUGUAAUCACCAAGGAGAUCAUCGAACGGGAGAUCAAAGGAAUCAUGACCGUGGAAGAGGUAAAAACAUAAGCCCCUCCCCCCGGGUAUUUAGAAACCCUAACAGAGCAGCGUGAACCCCAACUCCCCCCCUUGUACAGGCCAUCGAGAAGAAGAAGCUUUUCAUCAUAGACUACCACGACCUCUUCCUACCCUACGUCCACAAGGUGAGGCAGCUGGAGGGAACCACCUUGUACGGAUCCCGCACCGUCUUCUACCUCACGGAGGAAGGGACCCUGUCGCCGAUCGCCAUCGAGCUCACCCGCCCGGCGUCCCCGACGGCACCCCAGUGGAAGCAGGUGUUCACGCACAC